GGGGGGGGGAGGAGGGGGGUCACUUUCUCCCACAUUGAAUUGAAAUAUAUAACAACAUCAUGGGGGACAGAAUCAACUGAAGCAUGGUUCUCAUUCACACAUUUUUAUGGUACACGAGACUGUUACCACCGAGUAGUAGUGGGACCAUCAUUCUAGAUGUACAUAAUAUAAAUAUAAAUUCAUCAAAGUAUUUACUGGCUCCAUGGUGUGUAUGUGCAGAAGCGGUGCUGGAGGGCACUGGUUGGUGCCAAACUAGGGGGGGGGGGGAAUUGAAAGGCU